UCUUUCCCUUCCCUUUUCUUCUUUCUCCUUUUUCCCUCCACAGCUUUCACGUUACAUUCCAUCAUUCCUUUCGUUCCCUUUCCUCUCUUCUUCUCUCAUAUGCUCUACUCCAUCCUAAUCUUUCCUCCUCCUCCUCCUCCUCCUCCGUCAUUACUUUCAUAUGUUACACAAACAGAGGCGGCAAACCCCAACCCGCCAUCCCUUUCUCUUUUCCCCUCGCUCGGUAGUCUUUUCCACUUUUUACAAUCACCUCGCCCUCUACGGUUUCUAUCAACGCGCUGGCCAACGUGAAACGAGACACUUCAUAGAUAAACAGGUUCCUCUCCUCUCUCGCUGCUUCCCGAAAUUGCUCAACCGCACCGCUGUUCGUACAUGUUACUUUGUUUUAUUUUCCUUUUCUUCCCCCGACAAUUUGCGGACGAUAAGGUGAGGCCAAGAUUGGUGUUAUUCUCUGACGCUCCCGAGUCUCACGUCAAUUAUCCCCAAAGGCCCAAAAGGAGAUCAGUCGGGUUCUAAUGAGUGUUAUUUUAGGUUCACGGUACAGAAGGAGGGUCAGACUACCACCAGGGUCAUAAAACUAGCCCUGGAAAUGACCCAUACUCCGCCGAAAGCCUUGUCAAUCAUGCUACUACAUUCAAAGGAGAUUAGUCGAGUUCUUAUGAGUGUUAUUUUAGGUUCACGGUACAGAAGAAGGGUCAGACUACCAACAGGGUCAUAAAACUACCCCUGGAAAUGCAUAAAACACAGCCGAAAGCCUUGUCAAAUAUGUGAGCUUGGGCGCCGAAAGCCUUGUCCGACUCUCAUAUCAACUACAUUCAAUUAAAGGAGAUCAGUCGAGUUCUUAUGAGUGUUAUUUUAGGUUCACGGUACAGAAGAAGGGUCAGACUACCAACAGGGUCAUAAAACUACCCCUGGAAAUGCACAAAACUCCGCCGAAAGCCUUAUCAAAUAAUGUACACUCGGACGCCGCAAUGUUUGAGAGUAGCAAUGACCCGAGGAAUUCUUUACGCAGCGGGAAAGACAACCGACUCAGAUGUUGGUCACGUAUGCUUAUAAAUUAUCCCUGACGCUAACGUUACUUCGAACCCCACUCAGGAGCCUCGGCAGCUUGGAAUACAAUAGAAUCGAACUGCGGAGGAGGCAUUCAAGACGAUGUACAAGGAAUGAUGAUCAGUUACGUUAGUCACGAGAGUAUAAUGAAACUCCCUUAUACGCGGAUGGUCAGGCCUUGCGAAAGUUUGAAAUAUGAAAAAAAAAACAAGUUGGGAUGAAAAAUAGUGACACAAGGAAAUAAUAAACAGCUGUGUCAGUCACGUAUACACAAUAAAAGUGCCUCCCACGCUUCUACCACUCGCCAGGUUCUUUGAAAGUUUUGAUAACAGUAAAAUAAGUCUCGGAUGAGGUACACAACGUCUUAUAAGGCUUCACUAACACCUGUCAGUCCCCCAAUAGCCUAAAAUCAAGCCCACAGCCCCAUACACGUAACUACAGGACAUGGCGGUCAUCUCCACCAAAACCUUUAUGGCAACAUUAGUUUAGACAUUAGCAUUGUGCAGGAACGUGUUUUCUGGACAUUCCCAAAGGAUGGAGGUUCACAUCAAAGCCCUGCGCGACCUCCUACCGAGAGGAAUAGCCUAACUACAUGAUAUGGCGGUUGUGUCCAUCAAAACCUUUAUUGAAGCAUUAAUUUAGACAUUAGCAUUGUGCUGGAACGUGUUUUCUGGACAUUCCCAAAGGAUGGAGGUUCAUAUCACAGCCCUGCGCGACCUCCUACCGAGAGGAAUAGCCUAACUACAUGAUAUGGCGCCCAUCAAAACCUCCAUAGCAACAUUAAUUUAGACAUCAGCGUAUGAAAGAACGUGUUUUCUGGACAUUCCCAAACGGUGGAGGUUCAUAUCACAGCCCUGCGGGACCUCCCUGGCUCCCAUCACGCGGGGUCGACGGCUGGCUGGCUGGCUAGGGACGCGCGCCUUUUUUUCCGCCCGCCAAACACACUCCCCGCGAAACAGGUCUUGAAAACAGCCACUUCAUGAUUAGCUGUAAUAAAUUAUACGUUCCCCGCCGCGGUAUUGAUGCUCCUCCCCCGUGAAAGGUGUCUUAGCCCAGCGGAGUGACGUCAAGAGUGUAGAAUGGCGCGUGAAGAUAGGGGUGAAGGGUGGGCUAUGGAGGGGACCGGUAAGGUAAGCAAGGGAGUCCAGCCACCUCCAUGCCCACCACCACCACCACUAUGCCUCGAGGGGGAUAUUGGUAGCAUUCGACGGGGUAAAGAAUGACUCGUUUGACCACUAUUGUGACACUUUCUUUUGGCUUCGUCCGCCUGUCUGUUACGUUCGUCCGCGCCCUGUCUCUUCGGUUCGUACUCACACGCUUCCGCCUCUCACGCCAACGAUUUCCAAAGGUCCAAAACGAGAUUAAUCGGGUUUUAGUGCGUGUUAUAUUAGGUUCACGGUACAGAUGAAAGGUCAAAUUAUCACCGGGGUUAUAAAACUACACGUGGAAAGCCUCAAAACUCUUACGAAAGCCUUGCCAAAUAAUUAUGUGAGCGCCGAAAUGCUUAGGCUUAUUCCGCCUCUAUCUCGCAUAAACUAUUUCAAAAGGGCGAAAAUGAGAUUAAUCGGGUUUUAGUGCGUGUUAUAUUAGGUUCACGGUACAGAU